AGGUUUCUCUCUUGGUUAGUUCGUUUGGGGGUCGAAUAUUCGUUUCUUCAGAGGCGCAGAUUUUGAUCCUUCCGAACAAUAUUGUAGUUCACUGGAAAUGCACGGCCGGCCGCACAAGCCUCAGAAGCCGGAGGAAGAAGGAGCUUCGCCAGUGGAAGCUGGAAAGCUUCGAAAUCUACAAUCUCAAUUGCUAGCAAAUCACCACCAAAAGAACUAUAUGAUAAGGAAGCUCUAGAAGUCAGCGCUAGUUCACUGGAAAUGAAUCUGAAUCUAUUUACGGCUUGGAACAACACUACUUGAAGGAAUCUCCAUCAGACAUAAAGUCGAUCAAAGCGAUUUUCAACGAGGAACUUAGAGUAGCUGAAAGUUUUCUGCGUCAGAACGUCAAGUCGGCGUGUGGUAUCAUCGAAAAUGGAUUUUGAACAAGGAGCAUUCGUCCACCGAUCAGGAGUUGCGAACGCCAGGAAUUUUUAUGCAUGGAACUACAGAACGUACCUGCUUGCAUUCUUCCGAUUCAGUCCUUCUAGGCUGAUAGCCGCAGUUUGCAUGUACAUUUUAAAGGUAACAGUUAGCGUAUUUCUUCUUUGUCCGUUCCUCGGACUUGUGGCAGGCUAACGAGCAGACACGAGGAGAAGAACUGGAUGACACAACAGAUAUGAUAGAUACAAACUUCAAGAGUUAUUCAGUCUUGCAUAAUCGCAGAGUAAUUCAGACUUGCUCAACACAGAUCUCAACCGUUAAGACUUUUGUCUGAGUUCUGUUAGCCAUUUGAUGAACUUGGUCGGAAAAGUUGUUUGGUGAGAUUAAUCGAAACUCGUGUAAGCUGACUACAUAUAGAUAUAAAGAAUAUAUCUAUAUUAUGAAAGCUUCUACCUCGUAAAAUUGGAAAGCUCACUCUUGCUAGAUUGUUAUGGCACAUGCUGUAACAUCUCCACACGCCAACAAAAUGGAUGGUCCAACUUGACGAAGUUCUUGACCUUUACCGACCUGAUGAUGUUGGAUCCACCACAUGUUCAUUACUACAAGGUUCAACACAUCUUAGUUUUAUUUGCAGAAGGAAGAGGGAAUGACAUUCUGGUUUCUUCACAUGUUACAUUGACUGGUGAGUUUUGUCAAGACGUCGUUGUUCCUACAAAGAGCAGGCAUCACCAUAUAUUGACAGUACUACAUCCUGUCUAGCCUCAAUAAUUUAUCAAUUUCAUGUAUUGAAUCUACACAAAAAGACUACCGCUGGGUGCAAAUGCUCGACCUCAACAACAAUGAACUUCGAUCAAUUGAAGGAUUGAAGGCCAUGCAGCUCCUCUCUUGCUCGAGUUUGGGUAACAAUAAUAUUAGAUGAUUUUACUACGUUGGAGCUAUAGCCUCUUAGCGACUUUCUGGCAUGUUACUGCAAAGCUUAUUUUCUAUUAAAAGAUUUAAGCAUGAAGCAAUUGGAUAUUGAAAGAGACACGAUAUCUAAUGAAAGGAUUAAAAGAAUACUGAUAUUGUUAUACCAAAAUUUGAACGAUUGUAGGUUCAAUAAUCUGACAUUAGUAUAGAAAUUAGUAUAGAAAUUAGAAAGAAAUUAGAAAGAAAUGUGAAAUGGAAGAAGAAUUGAGAAGUGGAAGAAAGAUAAGACCAUUGCAAUAGGUUAGAGGUAUAUUCUCGUGCUUGUUUUCUACGUGCAUUUGAAA